UUAUAGCCCCGUUUUUGUCGCAAGAUUUAAGAAUGGGUUCAAUACCCAAAACCGUGUCUACUUACCUUUGUUGCUUUGGCAGGCCGCCUUCGGGCGUCGGCUCCGGCUGAUCAGCGCCUGCCAGAGGCCCAAAACUCUGCGUUUAGUGAUGUCUGAGUACUAUAAAAUAUUUA
rnacentral:misc_RNA from 1 species